GCUCUAACCAAUACACUAUGAGUUUACUGGUUUACAGCGCUCUAACCAAUACACUAUGAGUUUACUGGUUUACAGCGCUCUAACCAAUACACUAUGCGUUAGAAUGCUCUUGGAAAAUUCAAAUGUGUUGACAGGACUCACUCUCUCUAAACCAAUGACUCUGGUUCAGACCGUCAGCUCAGACUCACACCCUGUCUGCUGACUUUCGCUGUCAGGAGGAAAGACUAGUGAAGAAUGGAAGUGAUCCAACCCAUAUUGGUCACCCUCCUUCGAUAAGCUAGGGCGACCAUAAAAAAUAUCUCAGUCUAGAAAAAUAUGCUCUUUAAAAAAAUUGCUCUUUAAAAGUAAAAACAAAAAAAAAAGUGCUCUUAACUGAUUAAUGUUAAGUCAUUUUAUGACUUGUAGAGGACGAAUAGGAUGAGUGAAAAAAAAAAAAUAUUACGCCGGCCCUGUUAAUACCUGGUCAUAAAGUGUCCUUUGUCUUCUUCUUGUCCACAUUCUUUGUUGGCAUUUUUUGUAACUGGUAUAGAAAAUGAAUAGACGGAAUGUGACUUGAUUGAGCUCUUAUCAGUAUAAGUAGACAAGAUCAGCACAAGAUAAGAACGAAAGACAUGUUAGAGCCGGAUAGAAAUGGGGCUAAAGAUAAACACUGUCAAACAGAGUGACCAGUAACAGGUACCUCAGACAUUCAUUAGUAAGGAGAUGUGAAAUCUUCGGCGUCGGUAGAAAACAUGCCAAGUCAUGCUGAUUUUAUGUAGUUCCUCGAGAAAAAAUAAGCACUUUUUUUUUUAGCAGAAGGCACUUCGCCUUUAGGCGUCUUUGGCUAGUGCUUCUGGUCGCUGACCCCCUCAAUCAGUCAAGGCCAGGCCAAUGAUGGCGAACUUACGCGUGGAAAAACCCCACCAACAAAAGCUGCUCCUAAAAACCGGUCAUUGACAUGAUUUCACUCAUGAGGACUUUCUUUACUUCAACUGUCUUUCUUCCAGCGUUCAUAUGAAAAAGUAGUCUCCAUGCUAACAAUAUGUCACAUCUCUCUUCCCUGCCCGCCACAUAUUACUGGAAUAUAUAAUCUUUUUUGUUGACGAAAAUAAAUAUAUUAUAGGGGCAGUCUGUUCAAGAUGCAUGGAAAUAAUAACCCUGACAUAUGUGAAUAGCAACACCGAAAUAACAACAGUAAAGGAAAACGUGUAAAAGAAUUUUAUUGCAGUGUACGAAAUAUCUCAUCAGAAAUUAAUAUUAUAAUUGCUUUUAUUUCGGUAAGAUGUAUUUAGGUAGGCGUAUUAAAACAAGUGAUGGUGAUGUUUUUUUAUGUCCCGCAGGUUUACAUUUGUGUGUAUCUUGCCUUUUAUUGAUCAAUAAUGGAUGAAGUAUUAGCUUUUCCCUUUAGCUUUCUCUGUUGUAUUCAUUCUUUACCUGUUCAUGUAUCUGAGUUAGUAGGGCAGAAACUGGGAUUGACUAAUGUGUAGGCUUUUAGUGGCGUUGUAAUCAAAUAGGAUUUGACAUAGAUAUCUUUGAUUGUCUCUUAGGAGUUUUAAUAAGAAUGACAAUGAUAAACAAAUCCAGUUUCAAUUUAUUCUCUACUUUCUCAGUUUAAACCCCAAUCUGGUUUCGGCCAUAGUAUGCUGAGUAGUCCCAAACUAGAUCCCUUUUUCAUAUUCAAUAGCCUUUUCAAACCCUAAAUCCCAAGUUGCAAAACUAUUAUAGGUACCCUAUUUGUAUCCCAUAAUGACGUUAUUAUAAUGGACAAUAUACAUUUUCUGUCCUUGGUCAGGCCAACAAAAUCAUGAUUUUUUUCACUUUCCUUGAGUUUUUCCCUUUUCCGAAUCAUGAUUGAUAGGUAGGCUUUAGAAUAUCCAGCGCACAGGCUUUAUAAAGUCCUUCAGUCAACACAAAGUCAAAGUGCAUCUUCAGAGUACAAGGACUGCGUUUAUCUUGCCCUUAUUUAGCAUUUUAUUCGUUUUAAAUCCCUCAGUACCAAUGCCUCAGCCCAGUUGGUAUGCAUCUAUUUGUGACCACGUAGUUUAAAUAAGUCACCCUGCAGAAAUCCAUUAAAAGGAAAAUAAAUACGUAUUGCUGCUUGUAGCUAUGGUUACCAGCGACCGUAGACCACUAGAACAUUUCAACAUUGCAAGAUCUGAGCUGAGAACCGUGAACGACAGCACAGAGGAUCUUUCCCUUUCUCUCCGUAAUCCUCCCAGCUGCUUUUUAGAUUUGAGAGAGAAGGGUCAACAUAAGACACAGUAGCCACAACACAUAAGUCUCCAGCCUGGUCUUUGACAUUCAAAGUACAGGGGGGGCUGAAGUCGUCUUUGUCGUUCUCAUAUUAUAUAUUGUUUUCUGUUUGUUCAAACAGGACCUCGAAACAACACAACACAUCACCUCAUUUAAUUUUUUUUCUUACCAAAACCUGAGAGGAAACUACGCCGUGCAACAAUUGCUAUUUAAAAUUAAACAAAAAUAAAUAGUUUAAGAUUUUAAUAAUGUAAAAAUUGUUAUUCAAAUUAAUCAAGAGACCGGAGCGUACAAUUACAUCUUCCGUUUGCUCACUGGACUGGGCGUGUAAAAACAGCUGACAGCUGGAAAAAUGCUUUUAAUUUUUUUUUUUAGGUUGUCACAAAUCGCACCACUGCCAAUCACUGCCAGGUAAUACUGCAAAUGCAUGUUGAAAUCCCCUAUGUUGAUGCUUACACCCCAGUCUAUACAUUGGAAACCCUCCACUUGGCUAUUCAAUUAGAAAAAUGAUAUACAGUGGGGAGAACCAGUAUUUGAUACACUGCCGAUUUUGCAGGUUUCCCCACUUACAAAGCAUGUAGAGGUCUGUAAUUUUUAUCAUAGGUACUCUUCAACUGUGUGCCAGAAUCCAAAACAAAAAUCCAGAAAAUCACAUUGUAUGAUUUUUACGUAAUUAAUUUGCAUUUUAUUGCAUGACAUAAGUAUUUCAUACAUCACAAAAGCAGAACUUAAUAUUUGGUACAGAAACCUUUGUUUUCAAUUACAGAGAUCAUACGUUUCCUGUACUUCUUGACCAGGUUUGCACACACUGCAGCAGGGAUUUUGGCCCACUCCUCCAUACAGACCUUCUCCAGAUCCUUCAGGUUUCAGGGCUAUCGCUGGGCAAUACGGACUUUCAGCUCCCUCCAAAGAUUUUCUAUUGGGUUCAGGUCUGGAGACUGGCUAGGCCACUCCAGGACCUUGAGAUGCUUCUUACGGAGCCACUUCUUAGUUGCCCUGGCUGUGUGUUUUGGAUCGUUGUCAUGCUGGAAGACCCAGCCACGACCCAUCUUCAACGUUCUUACUGAGGGAAGGAGGUUGUUGGCCAAGAUCUCGCGAUACAUGGCCCCAUCCAUCCUCCCCUCAAUACGGUGCAGUCGUCCUGUCUCCUUUGCAGAAAAGCAUCCCCAAAGAAUGAUGUUUCCACCUCCAUGCUUCAUGGUUGGGAUGGUGUUCUUGGGGUUGUACUCAUCCUACUUCCUCCAAUAACGGCGAGUGGAGUUUAGACCAAAAAGCUCUAUUUUUGUCUCAUCAGACCACAUGACCUUCUCCCAUUCCUCCUCUGGAUCAUCCAGAUGGUCAUUGGCAAACUUCAGACGGGCCUGGACAUGCGCUGGCUUGAGCAGAUGGACCUUGCGUGCGCUGCAGGAUUUUAAUCCAUGAUGGCGUAGUGUGUUACUAAUGGUUUUCUUUGAGACUGUGGUCCCAGCUCUCUUCAGGUCAUUGACCAGGUCCUGCCGUGUAGUUCUGGGCUGGUCCCUCACCUUCCUCAUGAUCAUUGAUGCCCCAUGAGAUGUGAUCUUGCGUGGAGCCCUAGACCGAGGGAGAUUGACCGUCAUCUUGAACUUUUUCCAUUUUCUAAUAAUUGCGCCAACAAGUGUUGCCUUCUCACCAAGCUGCUUGCCUAUUGUCCUUGUAGCCCAUCCCAGCCUUGAGCAGGUCUACAAUUUUGUCCCUGAUGUCCUUACAUGGCUCUAUGGUCUUGGCCAUUGUGUAGAGGUUGGAGUCUGUUUGAUUGAGUGUGUGGACAGCUGUCUUUUAUACAGGUAACGAGUUCAAACAGGUGCAGUUAAUACAAGUAAUGAGUGGAGAAAAGGAGGGCUUCUUAAAGAAAAACGAACAGGUCUGUUAGAGCCGGAAUUCUUACUGGUUGUUAGGUGAUCAAAUACUUAUGUCAUGCAAUAAAAUGCAAAUUAAUUAUUUAAAAAUCAUACAAUGUGAAUUUUGGGAUUUUUGUUUUAGAUUCCGUCUCUCACAUUUGAAGUUUACCUAUGAUAAAAAUUACAGACCUCUACAUGCUUUGUAAGUAGGAAAACCUGCAAAAAUGUGAUUCACACCUUCAAAAGCAUUCGCUUGUUGCCUGUCUCAUAGCGUAAUUUAGAUAGAAAAUGUAUAUAAUUCAUAAAAAGGCUAUGAAUGGAACUUUUUUAUAUACAAAUGGCUGUAUUAAAUUCCUGUCAAAAUUGUAAAAGUCAAAGUUGCAUUUUAGGGUUAAUUAUUUCAUUUAUUAAGCAUUUAAUGACUUAAAAGAAGAAGCAAUUGGCAUACAUUGAGUUUGUCCUCCCUAGGUUUCUGUGAGCUAAUCUGAAUUCUAGCACUUUCAACCUUAAAAAAAAGAGUAUUUUUUUUCUUUACAAAUUUCAGCUUAUAUGUUCAUAUGUUUUUAAUUUUGUAUUUGAUCCAGUACAUGUAUGUGCCAUUAGUUUGAUAUGUAGAUUUGAUCAACCUUUGUGUGUUUUUCUCCUCCAAAAGAAUAACAGUAUUUUUAAAGACUUUUAACUAAUAUUUUCUCUCAUGUGGAACCCCCCAGCCCUGUUGAGUGAUAAGCUUUGCUUUCUCUAUUGAAAAUGUAUUUUAAAAAACAUCCUGAUGACCAGGUGUCCUUUCAAACCGGGUAAUCAGAAAGGAGUAACUGGGAAAAUACCACCCGUUUGACAACACAAAAAUGGCAGAUACUUUUAGUGCCCUCUGACACCAUGAUGGGACAUUUUAUAGGGAUGCAGCCUCUAUCCUUUUCUAUGCCUGGAUCAGUUUAAGAAUCGGAUUACAACCUGAGCCCCUACAAUGUGUUCUGAGGGAAAACCUACUGGAUGAUUGCCCUCCAGAAACAGGGGUUCUCAAACCUUUCCUGGGGACCACCAGAUGUCCCGCUAGUGCAACGGAUUCAAGCAGUUACGGGCUUGAUGAUUAGUUGACAAGUUGAUUCAGGUGUGCUCACGCUCGAAUACACAGGAUGCCUGAGGGUCCCCAGGACAGGUUUGAGAACCAACAGCCGGGAACAUACAUGUUUUAUGUUCAUGUUGACUUCCAUGUUGCAUGUAGAAGAUGCUGUAUUGACCAGGCUGUGCCAAGGCAUGGCUUAUGGAAGAGAAGGGCCUAGUUGGCAGUAGAGAAUAGGGAAACGCUAAUCAAUCAAGAGUGGAACAGAACUUAAACUGAACUGUAUGUGUCUUGCUGUGCGACGCUAGCUUUGGCCAGUACUAUAUCAGCAGUACUUUAGUUUCAUUAGGUUGACGUAACCGUGAGUCCAUCCCAUUCGACUGGGAGACAUGACUCGGCCGGGAUGUUCUGGACACGGCCGAUACCUCUGACAGCGGUGCUACACCAAGUGCUGUGUUCGUAACGCCAAACUGCGUUGGUGGCAAGGUUUUUGGUAGGAGUACAACAUAAUCACUGUUUGACGAAAUGAUCUGCAACUGAAACUUCUCGUUUGGUGGAAUGGAAACGCCAGAGUUGUCAGAUUCGGUUAUUUUGCGUGGUCGACUGAACGUUGAGUUAUAAUUCACCUUGAGCUUUCACUGAGUGCAUGUUUCGCUACAAUGCAUAGUUGUAGAUUCAUUACCUCGACUGCACCUACUAGGGACGCACUUAUCCUCCAUUUUCUUUUUUUACUAGUAGGUGUGGAACACAGAAUUUAAGGGAAAUCUUUGAUCCAUUGAAGUAAGAAAACAGAUUGGAUUUCAUUAAUGCUUUUUUUUUUGCUUUCUAGUGAGAAACUGGACACUGUCUGAAGACAAAAUCCACAUGUAGUUUUAUAUAUUUUUUAGCUUAUUAUAAGUCUUGCAUUCCAAGGUCUUCGUGUAUCGUUUAGUGACAUAGCCCAUUUAUUUUUUAGUACUUGCUUAUUACAGCCAACCUCUGGAAAAAAAGGUGAAACAGAAAAUGGAAUAUUUGCAUUCAUCCUUACACUAUUUUAUAUAUCAUGGAGUUUAUCAACUACAGGGAGAAUUGUAUAGAAAUAUACUUCAGAGAAAAACCUUUGCUUUUUUGUUACAUAUCUCACAUGCAAUCAGUUGCUGCAAUGUAUAGUGACAGAUUUGUAUAUUGGUUGAUCCAAAGAGAUAAACAUAACAAUCCUAUUGACUUAUUGUACAGUACGUUGUAUCUUUGACUUGUCAUGUGUUAUGUUGAUAUGAUUAAAAGACAAACCCACGGUUUCAUACUUUGGUUGAAUGUUUUGCUCUGACUAGUAUUUAAAAGGGAGGACCGCUAGAACACGGGGGAGAGAGACUCGUUCUGAAGAAUGCUCGGUCCAUUCCUAGAGAGCCCUUCCCCACUGCCCUGAUGAUUUGACAUGCAGUCACUGGAGAGCGCUCACGACCUAGUUACUGGAACAGAGCUGAGCCACUAGACAUUCAGAAUUACAGUAAGCUAGCCUGUGAUUACGCUAACAGCGGUGCCCAAGGAAAACACUUCACGCCAAAAUACAAGGACCCAAGCUCAAAAAAGAAACUCAGAAAUGGCUUUGAAGAUUAUUUUUUUUGCCCAGUGGGUAGCCGCG
ensembl:lncRNA